rnacentral:tRNA from 1 species
AGGGGUAUAGCUCAGCUGGCAGAGCGUCCGUCUCCAAAACGGAAGGCCGUAGGUUCAAAGCCUACUACCCCUGCCA